UUUGUUUUGUGAAGUUUGAGGUUUUUGUUUUGGAAGGUUUGAGGUUUGUUUUGUGAGGUUGGAGGUUUUAGUUUUGUGAGGUUUGAGGUUUUUGUGUUGUGAGGUUUUUGUUUUAUAAAGGUUUGAGGUUUUUGUUUUGUAAGGUUUUUGGUUAUAAGUUUUAUGUGACAUAAGUGUGAAGUCAAGUAAUGUCACAUUAAGUCAAGCUAAGUCAGGUUGUCUUGGGGAGAAUACAAUUUGAAACAGCA